GGUUCCGUAGUGUAGUGAAAAGCUAUCACGUUCGCUUCUCAAGCGAAAAGGUCUCGGUUCGAUCCCGGACGAACCA